rnacentral:rRNA from 1 species
ACUCUACGGGAGGCAGCAGUGGGGAAUAUUGCACAAUGGGCGCAAGCCUGAUGCAGCCAUGCCGCGUGUAUGAAGAAGGCCUUCGGGUUGUAAAGUACUUUCAGCAGUGAGGAAGGUGGGUAUGUUAAUAGCAUAUUCAUUUGACGUUAGCUGCAGAAGAAGCACCGGCUAACUCCGUGCCAGCAGCCGCGGUAAUACGGAGGGUGCGAGCGUUAAUCGGAAUUACUGGGCGUAAAGCGCAUGCAGGUGGUUUGUUAAGUCAGAUGUGAAAGCCCGGGGCUCAACCUCGGAAUUGCAUUUGAAACUGGCAAACUAGAGUACUGUAGAGGGGGGUAGAAUUUCAGGUGUAGCGGUGAAAUGCGUAGAGAUCUGAAGGAAUACCGGUGGCGAAGGCGGCCCCCUGGACAGAUACUGACACUCAGAUGCGAAAGCGUGGGGAGCAAACAGGAUUAGAUACCCGGGUAGCGUAG